rnacentral:sRNA from 1 species
AGUGACCCUAGGCCUCUUCCAGGAGAGUCCCUGGUCCCAGCCAGCGGGAGCGGCUUCUCCAGUUUGUGGCUCUCGGAGAGUUCGCCUCGUCCCUCCCUCUCAGAUAACCACCUAUUUCUGACCUCUGGAGGCCGGGCUGAGCCCGGAAUUUUAUGACCAGCGCCCGCUGGCCGUCGUCACCCUCUAAUUUCUCGCAAAACUCCCGGGGACCCUUCUUAAUGUCAGUAGCCACAGUCGCCGCCGCUCCUGCGCCUAGAAGCCUUCCACGACCCUCAACCCCACAGAGCCCCGAGCUGGCUCGGGUUCCCGCAGGAUACACUGCCCGCCCAGUGGCCUGGAGGGCGCGUCCCGGGCUCCCCUACGCCUUUUGGAAUCAGCGACAGACGCCGGUAUAAAAGAGAGCCUCCACUCCCACCUCUCCAGGGCUCCCCACCCGCUCCUUCUGGCCGCUUUCUCCUGAAAGAGCAAGGCACCCCUAGAAGCUUCAGGCUCCUCCACAGGCGAGUGCCUACCCACCUAUCAGGUUCAUAGGUGGAAGAAAUUCAUCUCCAGAUGAGACUUUGGACUUGGACUUGGGACUUUUGAGUUAAUGCCAGAAUGAUGAACCCCAGCAUGUUAAUUGAACUUGAUCACCCAGUUGAAGGAAGAAUAAUAGUAGAUGUUGGAUCUUCAGGAAGCUGAAGAGGGCAGUGCCCAGAAAUACCUGUCU